AUUGAACGCUGGCGGCAGGCCUAACACAUGCAAGUCGAACGGUAACAGGAAACAGCUUGCUGUUUCGCUGACGAGUGGCGGACGGGUGAGUAAUGUCUGGGAAACUGCCUGAUGGAGGGGGAUAACUACUGGAAACGGUAGCUAAUACCGCAUAACGUCGCAAGACCAAAGAGGGGGACCUUCUGGCCUCUUGCCAUCGGAUGUGCCCAGAUGGGAUUAGCUAGUAGGUGGGGUAACGGCUCACCUAGGCGACGAUCCCUAGCUGGUCUGAGAGGAUGACCAGCCACACUGGAACUGAGACACGGUCCAGACUCCUACGGGAGGCAGCAGUGGGGAAUAUUGCACAAUGGGCGCAAGCCUGAUGCAGCCAUGCCGCGUGUAUGAAGAAGGCCUUCGGGUUGUAAAGUACUUUCAGCGGGGAGGAAGGGAGUAAAGUUAAUACCUUUACUCAUUGACGUUACCCGCAGAAGAAGCACCGGCUAACUCCGUG
rnacentral:rRNA from 1 species